GAAACUCGCCUACAUGAAGCUGGAGUUACUAGUAAUCGCAGAUCAGAAUGCUGCGGUGAAUGCGUUCCCGGGUCUUGUACACACCGCCCGUCACACCACGGGAGUUGGAGACGCCCGAAGCCGAUUAUCUAACCUUUUGGAAGAAGUCGUCGAAGGUGGAAUCAAGAACUGGGGUGAAGUCGUAACAAGGUAGCCGUAUCGGAAGGUGCGGCUGGAUCACCUCCUUUCUAAGGAGA
rnacentral:rRNA from 1 species